rnacentral:rRNA from 1 species
UAACCUGGCGGCAGGCCUAACACAUGCAAGUCGAACGGUAACAGGAAGUGCUUGCACUUCGCUGACGAGUGGCGGACGGGUGAGUAAUGCUUGGGAACUUGCCUUUGUGAGGGGGAUAACAGUUGGAAACGACUGCUAAUACCGCAUAAUGUCUACGGACCAAACGGGGCUUCGGCUCCGGCGCAAAGAGAGGCCCAAGUGAGAUUAGCUAGUUGGUAAGGUAAAGGCUUACCAAGGCAACGAUCUCUAGCUGUUCUGAGAGGAAGAUCAGCCACACUGGAACUGAGACACGGUCCAGACUCCUACGGGAGGCAGCAGUGGGGAAUAUUGCACAAUGGGGGAAACCCUGAUGCAGCCAUGCCGCGUGUGUGAAGAAGGCCUUCGGGUUGUAAAGCACUUUCAGUUGUGAGGAAAAGUUAGUAGUUAAUACCUGCUAGCCGUGACGUUAACAACAGAAGAAGCACCGGCUAACUCCGUGCCAGCAGCCGCGGUAAUACGGAGGGUGCGAGCGUUAAUCGGAAUUACUGGGCGUAAAGCGCACGCAGGCGGUUUGUUAAGCUAGAUGUGAAAGCCCCGGGCUCAACCUGGGAUGGUCAUUUAGAACUGGCAGACUAGAGUCUUGGAGAGGGGAGUGGAAUUCCAGGUGUAGCGGUGAAAUGCGUAGAUAUCUGGAGGAACAUCAGUGGCGAAGGCGACUCCCUGGCCAAAGACUGACGCUCAUGUGCGAAGGUGUGGGUAGCGAACAGGAUUAGAUACCCUGGUAGUCCACACCGUAACGCUGUCUAUUAGCUGUUUGUGACUUUAAGUCGUGAGUAGCGAAGCUAACGCGAUUAAGUAGACCGCCUGGGAAGUACGGCCCGCAAGGUUAAAACUCAAAUGAAUUGACGG